GACGUAGGGGGCAAGCGUUGUCCGGAAUCAUUGGGCGUAAAGGGCGCGUAGGCGGUUUGUCAGGUCGAAUGUGAAAGCCCAGGGCUCAACCUUGGAAGUGCAUCCGAAACUGGCAAACUAGAAUCUCGGAGAGGGUGGUGGAAUUCCCAGUGUAGAGGUGAAAUUCGUAGAUAUUGGGAGGAACACCGGUGGCGAAGGCGACCACCUGGACGAAGAUUGACGCUGAGGCGCGAAAGCGUGGGUAGCAAACAGG
rnacentral:rRNA from 1 species